rnacentral:misc_RNA from 1 species
GGAGGCAUUCCCAUACGCACGCACGGCAUAUCGGAGCAGCGCCAGCGAAUGCGCAUGGCUUCACUUGCCCUGUCUUUUGGCCCGAGUGACGAUACACGCACACAUGCGCGUGCGCUGCUGUCACCCAACGGAGCACCCUCCUCCCUAACGCAGAACUGAACAUCCCCAACCCCCACCACGUAUGUGCAGGCUCAAGAAUCAAAGGCGAGAUGCUCCAGCGAACUAUCGCGUACACACCCAUACGCGAAAAUAUCGACUUGGUGCAGCCAACAAGACAUCGCCGACGUGGCGCAGCCUCGACAGGUCGAUAGUGGGUGUUAAAGCAUCUGCCUAAUCCACGAUCUGUGGCGUGCACCUUCGCUCUCUCUCCGUACUCCCACCCCGGCGUCACCUCACCCAUUUACUGCUUUGCUUUCAGCUCUUCUCUCGCUCUCCCCGACGACGACGCGGGGGGGGCACAUGCCUCUGUGCGUCGUGUCUCUGGGCCCAGUGCCCACUCUCUCUGUGGGGAAGCCAAGCAGCCCCUAUUCCUGCCACUGCACAACCACCUCUGGUGGUGACAGGGUCAGGCGCGCGUGACGUAGGGACGUCAGAGCGAUGUAUCACUGCCGAUGCCCGCAGUGUCCGGUGCUGGAUGGCGUGGCGCCGGAGCGACCCGCGACCGCGCACACGUUUUCGCCAUCCACAGGAUGGGCGGAGUGUCGGCGUGACUCGAACGCGUCCCACCCCCGGCCCUCACUGCCCACUGGGGGCGGGGUGAGCCUGGCCCCCCCCCCCCCCCCCCGAGAGGGAUGCCCCGGGUGAUGGCCAGCAUAAUGUGCGUGGCUGUGGGGCGACCUGUGGGGCGGGGGUGGGUAAGGUUCGAGGCAGAAGCCAUGCACCGAUGACCGGGUCUGGGCAUUGCUGCACCUCGUGUGCCUACGGCUGCCUCGCGCCGCGCGACGGGGCCUGUGACCGGCCGGACAGAGAUGAGCUUAGCUCUUGUUGUGUGGUGGCAUGGGCGUGGAAAGAAAACG